GGGGGAUAAGAAGUAGAAAAUGUCCUGGUCUACCUCCUGGACAGUGUUUAUUUAGCCCUGAAAAAUUCUGACCCUGAAUCUUUUCUUAUGAGAUUUUACAUUUUUUAGAACAUGACUCCUGACCUGCUAGGAUUAGAUGCACCAACAUUUAUUUUAUAGUAGCUAUAACUUAACUUCCUUAAUAUUUGAUAAACACCCUUGCCCCUAGAUUGAAAUUUGGAAAGAAAAGGGGGUUUUCAUAUGAUUUUGAGGACAGAUCGCCUCAGCCGUUGGUUAAUUUUACCCAAACAGUGUUUAAUCUUUUACAGCUUCUAAUGUGUAUAAAAACAUGUUUGCUUUUACUAAUCCAAGUGUUAACAUAUUGGUUAUUAUGAGAGCGCCAGUUUUAAUCACAGUGGCUUUGUAUUGUACCCAGGUUAGAUUCUAAAAUCAGUCUCUUUGGCAAAAGUCUUGUGUAAAAUAUUACCCUUGACAGUGACCCAAAAGAAGACAAGUUCCAUCCAUGCAGUCAUAUCUCUUCUUACAUCACCAUGGGUUGCUGUUUCAUCAUUUCCACAUCACAUGAAGUUACUGGCUUGCAUUUAAAGGCCAUUUUGUAUGAAUAACAUAUAUCUACUGAGCAAUAAUUAUCUUCAGUAGCAUGAGAUGAUCACGUGGCCAGAGUCUGCUGGAAUCAACAUCAGGUUCACCUCCCAUUUAAUUCUCACUUAAACGUAUGUGCUCUUUGGAGAAACAUCAGGCAGAAUCACCAUCAUGUUGUGUCUCUCCCUCUCUUUCUCCAAGAUAGAUCAUACACAGACAUUCAUCGUGCAUGUUCCGUGUCUACACGACAAGUUUUCUUAACUGUUCUCAAUAGCUUGUCACAAACCCAACAGAAGCAAAGAGCUUGUCCAUCUAAUCAACCCAUUCCAACAGUUCCCCACGGCUGAUCAUGACAAGUUGGAUUUCUGUUCUACAAUUCUGAACCCCAUCCCCCCACCUCCUGCAGACAGGUACCUAAGAACUAACUGGCUUUGUCUAUUUCUUCCAUAUUUUAAUGAACAUAGAAGAGUCUUGAUGGCAGCAUCUAUAGUUCUCUUUUUAGGACAGUGUGCUUUCUGAAAUAGCUAAAUAAGAAAGUAAGGCACAGCCUACAGCAGACACUCCUUCCCCACUCCUUCUUCUUUCAUCCCCCCUCCCUCACCCUCCCAGUCCCUCCAAGUGAUUUCAUUUAGAUUCUGCAAAGCCAUCCAUUAAACACUCCUUGGCAUAGCCUUCCAGGGAAUCCUGCCUGUGCCCAGGCCCCUGCUGGGCUGGAGGGUGGCCUCCCCCAGCUGACCCAGGCAGAGGGUAUUCAGUAUUCAGCCCCAGGCAGAGGGCAGUGGUACUUGCUGGGUAGGGACAUGGAGAGGCAGGCUGAGGGGGCCAUGGGGCUCAGGAGAACUUGUUCUGGGAAGGCAGGUAGGAACCUGGCAGAAGGUGAAGCCCAUGGUACACGUUUCCUUGUCACUUGCAAAGCACAGAUUCAAACUUAGAGUUAAGAAUUUCAAUACGGCAACUGCAGAGCAUGAAACCCCAAGCAAAAUGUCUUUCUGCUUGGUGGGUCCUGAGUGACUGCUCUGGCCCCACACCGUGCAGCCUGCCUUGGCUCCUUGCCACACCAACAGCUAGCUGCUUCUCCGCUGCGAGGGGCUACUUUUUCCUUUCUCAGGGGUAUGUCUCUAGCUGUAAGAAUUCUGGACCCCAGUAUUAAAAAGGUGUCAGGAGGUCUAAUUGGCCGCUUCAAGUAUGCAGUGUUUCAUUUAAUGCCAUUGUUUUCAGUGACCCCAUCCUUAGCCAGGAAUUCCCAAACCUGAUUUCCUGUUUCAGUUUUUUUACAGAAUAAUUCUCAAGUCUUCCGCCAGGUGAAAAGAGACUUCAGGACUGAAAUGGAAGAAGGAAGGAGAUCAGGGGUAGGUAACUGCUUAUAAAUACUUGUAGACAAUCUCUCUCUCUCCAGCCCCAAGCAAACCCCAUUUUCAGAAGUAUGUGGUGCUUUCCAUUUCCAAAAAUGUGCAUUUCUGGACUUCUGUGAUAAAACCUGACUUGGCUUUCCCUCUCCAAUUUAUACUUUAAUUUCCUCUGCAUUGCUAAUUCAGUUACCACUCACUCGUUUCCUUCCUAGCUUCCAAAAUUAUGUUGCUAGGCUCUUUACUUCUAUUCUUUUUAUCCUAUGAGCUUUUGCCUUUUCAAAAGCUCUCUGUCAUCUUAGCGGGGUUUUGCAAGGACAGAAUUGUUUAUCCAUGUGUAAUCAAAUCGAAAUGUUUAACUGAAAGUCUCUCUUUUUUAUUUCCUUCCCUUUUUAAAAAUAGGAGUUCUCUUUCUCUUUUCUCCUCUUCUUUGAUGGUUGUCUACAGGGGAUGCUGGUGGUGAUUAUAUUCACAGUUUAGGCUAAGAAUGCAGGAUCCUGAGAAGCCUGGCCCCAAAGAGGGAGAGUCUGUUGACCCUCUUCUUAACUGGAAAAGGGGUGUGAGCCUGUUGGGCCACCUGGCAAUGGCACAUAUCAGAUACCUAGUUCCUAGCUGAAGAGGUGCUUCAAGAGCACAGUGAUGCCUGCCUUCUCCAGAAACUACAUUUGUUGUGAUGGUGAGGCUACAGCAGCAGCAUCCAGGUCAUGGAUUCUCCUGGCUCUGAACAAUGGACCCAAGCUGGACCAAUCGGUAGAUGGCCCCUUGGAGUACAGGCUUUGCUCCCAGGUCAGAGAAUUAGGAGUUAUCAGUAAGCAAGGCAAGCAAAUGGAAGCAAAAGUUUGAUCCCAGGCCUUGCUCAGUGGGUUAAGGAUCUGGCAUUGCAGUGAGCUGUGGUGUAGAUCGAAGACGCGGCUCAGAUCCCAUGUUGCUGUGGCUGUGGGGUAGAGAGGCAGCUGUAGCUCUGAUUCGAGCCCUAGCCUUGGAACUUCUAUAUGCUGUGGGUGUGCCCACCACACCAAAAAAAAAAAA
rnacentral:lncRNA from 1 species